CCCUUAGAUGUUCUGGGCUGCACGCGCGCUACACUGAAGCGUUCAACGAGUAUUUCACCUUGCCCGGGAGGGUUGGGUAAUCUUUUUAAAACGCUUCGUGAUGGGGAUAGAUUAUUGCAAUUAUUAAUCUUCAACGAGGAAUUCCUAGUAAGCGCGAGUCAUCAGCUCGUGCUGAUUACGUCCCUGCCCUUUGUACACACCGCCCGUCGCUCCUACCGAUUGAAUGGUCCGGUGAAAUCUUCGGAUUGCUGAUCAAAUUCCAGCAAUGGAGCUUGAUUGCGAGAAGUUGAUUAAACCUUAUUAUUUAGAGGAAGGAGAAGUCGUAACA
rnacentral:rRNA from 1 species